rnacentral:rRNA from 1 species
UACCAGCACCCCGAGUGGUCGGGACGAUUAUUGGGCCUAAAGCAUCCGUAGCCGGUUCUACAAGUCUUCCGUUAAAUCCACCUGCUCAACAGAUGGGCUGCGGAGGAUACUAUAGAGCUAGGAGGCGGGAGAGGCAAGCGGUACUUAGUGGGUAGGGGUAAAAUCCGUUGAUCCAUUGAAGACCACCAGUGGCGAAGGCGGCUUGCCAGAACGCACUCGA